GAAAAAGCUUAGGCAGAAUCCACUAGUGUUUACAUGACUGCUCCUGUUAUGUUACACUAAACGCAACUCUGGCAUUCAAAGAAGAGGCCAAAGUCAAGUGAUCACAAGGAGCAGAGCCAAUUGAAAACAGACCAUUGUGAAGAAAGGUUCAAGCGAGGAAUUCAAGUGAAAUUUACAUCAAAAAACCACUAAACACCAUGCUACAGAUGGCGGGGACCACAAAUUCAACUGGGACAACAAUGAUCAUAGGACAAGCUGAACAGAAGACAACUAGAGAAAGUCUACAAGUAUGGCACUCAUCCACAGACUCCAUCAACAAACAUGGACCUGGACCCAAUAUACCGGCCACUACAAUCA